rnacentral:rRNA from 1 species
CCGACCUCAGUUCGGAUUGGAGUCUNCNACUCGACUCCAUGAANCUGGAAUCGCUAGUAAUCGCGGAUCAGAACACCGCGGUGAAUACGUUCCCGGGCCUUGUACACACCGCCCGUCACAUCACGAAAGUGGGCUGUACUAGAAGCCGGUGGNCUAACCCCAAGGAAGCACCCGUCCAAGGUAUAACUCAUGAUUGGGGUGAAGUCGUAACAAGUAACC